rnacentral:lncRNA from 1 species
GAGAGAAAGGUAGCAUGCUACCCGCUUCGUUUAUUUUAUUUAGAAAUAAACUUAACUAGAAAUGUGAAUCAACUAGGAUUUGAACUUGAAUACCAACCACCAAGCUCUUUGCCACUUGCGCUAGAGACUUUUUAAUAUUUAAUUUUUUGCAUAAAUUUAAACUAAUAUAUUAUAAAGAUAAAAUUUGCAUAUUAAUUUUAAUUACGUUUCUGAUGUCUAUAUGAACCAAACACCGACAAUGGGAAUAAUUUAUUUCGAUUCCG